GUCGUCGCGUUUUCACUCGGACGCUUUGGAGUGAAUCAUCGCUUCCGGCCGCAGUCGGCUACCAACAGUGUUAUUUUUCUUAACCAGCACCCGCAACACGGACACGUAACAGUCUGCAGAUCUUGCCACGAAAUAAAGAUUGUGAAUAGAAGCAAAAUGAAAUAAAACAACGAAAGGAGGGUUAGGUUCAGUGGGCAACAAACGCUGUUAUUAAAUCCAACCCGCAUCAGCGGGCAAUAAAUUGGGUCGCAUAUGCUGCUGUAUGAAUGGACAUCCUUGUUACGUAGAAGGAGCGUAAAAGGAGUGAGGGGCCCCACCCAUGGACACUGCAACUCUGCAGUCAUGGUUCAAGAUCCGCGUUCCGCUAGAAAUGUUUCGCGCGAAACGGAGACAGCGACGAUAAACAUUCAAGAAACAAGGAAGAGGAAAAACUAGCGUCGAAUUG